AUGUAUAUCCUAUUUAUUGUAAUAUUUGCUGGUAACCUAACUUUCAAUUUCAGUACCGUGACAAAAUAGUUAGGUAUGUCAGCAACAAUACGAGAUGUUUUCGGUCAGCACACCCCACCCUUCCCAACCAUAGUCGUAGUUCGCUUCAUUUCAUUGGCCGUUAAAUUACCCGGCCAACAUACAUCGGCGAACCAGCUAAUUGUCGUGGUGAGGAGCGGCCGGCGUACGCGAUGCUUUCAAAAAGUCGCCGACGUACCUAUCUUUUUUGUCAUUGCUCAGGCCGAGCAACAAAACGAGUUUCUCGGCCGUGCGCUCGUUAUGUAUAAACGUGACCUUACAGCCGACAGGUACAACAGGCUGCGUCGGUAAUUUGUAUCGAAAUCCGAAUUUUUUUUUUGACUGAAAGUAAUAACUAUUAUGUAUAAACGCUGUCACGGUUAUAUCGAAUGCAAUGGUGUCGUGGCCCAUGACAAUGCCUUCCGAAUAAAUUGUGACCAUCGUCGGACCGAAACUGAUGGAAAUUGUAUUAUGUUAAUAAUUAGAAUACGCCAUAGUGAUAAAUGUACCGCUCAACUAUUCACUGCUAUUGUGAUGAAAAAUAUGUUUAUGGCCGCAAACGUUGUUCAUCGCAUUCAUUUAUUACAUAAUAAAUUAAUAACUUAAUGUCAGACACACGCUCAUUUGCAACCAACCAAGACUUUUGGAGACAAAUGUAUUUACAGUACAAUGACGAUGAUGAAGCAUACAGUGGUGCUUAGGAGGUUGGCCCUGUUAAACCAACAUGACACUAAUGGUGGUUCACAUGUGUAUGACUUCUCCUUUGUCUCUGGUUGUGGUGAUCACCCACAGCAGAUCACUGAACGACCAUCGGAACAUUAUGGGGAUAAUAGAUGACAGUUCUUUUGGAGAACUGUGGCACCAUUCAAAUACUUGUGGUCCUACAAACAGUUAAGUUUCUGGUGUUAUAGUUGAAGCAAUAUGGAACAAUUUACAUUUCUAACACCAAUCAUUGGAGCUGGUUUGCACUAAAUACAAAACAGUGUUGUACCUGUUACAGACUCACGGAUUUCACCAAAAUUAUUAGAUCAGAAACCAAUACGAAUUGAUAGUUAGUCCCAUUGGGAUCAUUGGAUUCAAAUCCCAUGUGGCAACCAUCAAACAGUACAAUACAAAUGAGAAAAAUCUGCAGUAAUUAAUGUUACAACUCCUAAGAUAAUAACCAACAAUUGCAAUGCUAUCUAACCAACAAUGACAGCAAGAACUCCACAUUAUUUUAAGUGAGAUAAUUUAUAGAUUAGAUGCAUUUUAAGAUUUAAACACAUAAACAAUUGAACGAAUGCUGUAGAUGGAAGCUGGACGCAGCUGAGUAUGAUUCUUAAUAAUAUGAAUAUAGAAUAUUUAGGUCAAAAACUUUUAAGUUUUAUGAAUAUCAUAAAAUCAAUGACAUUACCAUAAUGAUUCAAUCGAGAAUGGCACAAAAUAAAAAUCACAAACUUGCAUGGUUAUGUGUAAGGCAUAGAUAUAAUGCCCUAAAAAUAUCAAAAAAUUCAUUUAUAACCUAAAAUCUCUAAAAAAAAUGCAUUUAACAUGUCAAAUUGUGUAGGUACAUUGAUAAAUAAAAACAACUUAGUAAACAAUUUAAUUUUUAUUACUAUUACAUUGUAUAAGGUACUGUACUACACUGUAAUACCUACUCCAAUAAAAGUUGUAUGCAAUUAAAUCGGCUAAUUAGUUGGUGGGACAUUAAGAUAAAUUUCCUUGUUUAAUUAAACAGAUUACCUGAUGUUAUAUAAUUCAAAAUGAAAGUGAUUUAUAUUAUGUAGCUCUAUGUUUAUAUUUCUUUGACGUACAUUUUUGCAGCCAUUAUAGUAGAAAUUGAUAAAAAAAAAAUGGAUUAAAAACGUCAAAAAGUCCCCCAAAAACAUGGAUUACUUGAAACACAUAUUAUGUUCCUCGGAAAAAAUUGUGUAAGACAUUUCAAAAAAAGAUGCGAAUGCAUUGAAAUCCGAGCCCUAGUUAUGAGCUUAAGAAGCCUGAGAAGAUGUACCUAUAUAUUGUUUUUUUUUAAAUAUCCACCAUAUAAUUAUAAAGAGAACUUUGCUUAUAAAAUGCCAUUGCACAACAAUUAUUGUUUAACAUAAUUUAGCAUUCUCCCUUUAAAAUUGACUAUUUGAUAUUAGCAUGGAUGGAAAACACAAACUUAUCAAAAGACCAGUUUUCAAAAUUUGAAACUUGUAGAAGUUCUAUUUUAUUUGUAAAAUUUUCAAUUUUUGUUUUGCCUGUUUUAUUUUUAAAAAUGUUAUAACUUACAAUGAUUUGAUUAAGAAUCUCUGUUGUAUAAUAUUCAGUUACAAUUUUGUAAAAUAGUGAACAAUUUUUAUUGUUCUACUUUGUAAUGCAAAUAAUAGGAUACAAUAAAAUAACUACAUAC